UUCCUCUAUCAAUUCCAGAUUAAAUUCCAUCGGUAUUUAUAUGCUAAUCACUACUCCACAACCAGCAUCACCUCCAUAGUCCAAAAAUCUCUCAAAUGUCUAAAGAGAACCGAAAGUGCAAAGUUGGGAAGAUAAUGGGGAAGUUUGAGGGAAAGAUCUUAGCUUUAGAUAUGGGUUUCGGGGCUGCCGAGCAGCAAUUCGUGGCUGACCUCGACACAGCGGCGGACUUCCGGGCAGCAGAGGCGGAGAACUGGGUUGCUGGCGAGUCUGAAGGCAGCCGGAGACGACGGCAACUGUACCAUGACAGGCUCACAGAAACGGCGCUGCAUUCUGACCAGACGAUGGAGAGACGGUGGUGGCUGCCGGUGUCGCUGUGGCCUCACAACCCUUCCAUAGCGGAGAGACGACGGCGCAGACUGUGGCGCUGGCAGUAGCAGGUCGUGGUGACCGGCAGCAGCUCAUACUGUGAGACUGCGUAAAGGCGCUGGGUAGGAUCGAGAGGCGCGGCUGCUGUACACCGACGACAGCCAUGCUGUGAUCGGCCAAGAGGCAGCAGCGGCGGUGAUUUCACGGUGAGUAGGCGGUGAAAAUUUUAACGACAGAGGAGUGGAGGUGGCGCUGUUCUAGCGAGUGAGAGACUCGACGAUUGUUUGAGGGAGGAGGAAGAAGAAGAAAAUUUUGGGGUUUUCUGAUUUUGAGAGAGAGGAAGAGAACGGCUAAUUCUCUUUUGGGAUUUUGAGGCUCUUUCUUCAAUCUUGGAUGGACUAACUGGGCCAACAAUUUAAGAAAAUAGGCAAUAGUUAGAAUUAAACUUGGGCCAUAAGGGUUAAUUAGUUGGGCUGAAAAUCAGUGUGGAACGUGUUACGUACGAACGGAGGACGCAAAUGGCCGGCCGGCGUCGCCCACGACGAUUUGGGUGGCCACGAAAAGUCCAAAAGAGAAAAAGGACUACCUCCGCGAGUUAAGGACAGAUUAAAGAAAUUUGAGUUAGGUAGGCUUUCUUUUAAAUAAAGAAAAUAUCUUUUAAGUAUGCUAUCAGUUAUUUAAAUUCGCAGUAUGUUUUGUCUUGCCAUAUUUUAUUUUGAGCAUUACCUAUCUAUUUAUCUAGAAAGGGGUUGACUCUUCUAGACCAGUUUAAAGUGAUUGUAUUCAGGUUUGAGUGUUGGGUAAGCCCAUACUUAAGCUAGUGUACACCAGGGACCGCGCGCCAUCUUUCGAGUCGGCCGGUCAUUGUAACCGUGGAAUGUGGCCACAUUCCCGGCACUAGGAAAGGAUUCAGGUUGAGCGGUGAUGGCGAUGGGCUGUGUUGAACAGAGACGGAGUAUGUUCUUUGAUAGAAUGGUGAUUGGAUGCAUCGUGUCUCCAUACAUGAUGUCAUUCGCUCUUGAACGGUUCCGCUAAAACAGUUUUCCUAUUGAAAUCAAAUAUUAAUAAUCGAGUUUAUGUAAUUGUCGAUAUGAUAAUCUGAUUUAUUCAAGUUAUUUCUAUGAUUUUGAGCCAAGUCCAAUUAUCCCUUUGUAUUCCCCUUUCUUUCCCGCUUCUUUAAUCCCCCACAGUCGCGAUAAAUUGUUCUUUCUAUCCUUAAGAAGGGCGGGGCGUGACAUUAAGACUAUUUUUAUUUUUGUGUUAAACAAUUUUUCUUCAAGUUUUGAAGUAUUUUUGUGUUUAAUUUUUAUUUUUGUGUUGAUUGAAGUUUUUCGCAGGUUCUGGACAUUCCCCAGCGACCGCUAUCGCGCGCAGCGGCCUGCUGGCCACUUAUUGGAAUGUUCUGAUAUUUCAACAGCGAUCGCUGCCCGACUAUAGUUUUUCCUGCCGCAAUUUUUUGAAUUUUUCAAAUUUUUAUCCCGUCCAGCCCCAACACGAAAAUUUCAAGCUUUCGAGACGUCCAGUGGUCCGUUGCAACCAAGCCAGCGACCGCUGGCGGCCACCGACCACUGAGCCAGUAGCGGUCCGCUCCAGAAAAGUUGUACUGAAAAGAGGAACAGGCCCAUCGACCGUUAGGGUGUGCGCAGUGACCGCUCCGAACGAUAUACGGGACGAUUGACAGCGACUGCUAAAGCAAAGUGCAACGAUCGUUGUUCGAGAGGCAGAAGCUAAGGAUCAACCCACAGCGACCGCUGGCCAAGGUACAGCGGACCGCUGAGAAAACGCAGAGCAUGAGUUUGACCUACUUUCACUCCAAGAUUUAACAUACUUAGCCACUUUUUGCCUAAACUGAUAAGGAUCGAAAAUAUGGCUAUAAAUAUCCCCUUAAACCACUUCAUUAAGGAUCUUCUUUUUGCUACAUAAUUCGAGAGUAUAUAUUUGAGAGUUCUUACUUGUUCAUCAAGGUGCAAGGGUUUGAAGAAGGAAUCAAGAAAAUAUCAAGGCGACAAGGAUUCAACCUUUGAGUUUUAAUUGUUUUAGUUCUUAUGUUCCCUUUG